GUAAGGAAAACACAGCCACUUGUGUCUUCAAUUCCCGGCUGAUUUCCAACUGAUGCGCAGAGGGUCCCCUGCGCAUCAGUCGGAAAUCAGCCGGGAAUUGAAGACACAAGUGGCUGUGUUUUCCUUACA
rnacentral:pre_miRNA from 1 species